GAGGGGAGAAAAGAUGAAGCAAGGGGGGGGUAAACUUUGACUGUCGCUGGCCUUGGCAUGUUGCACGUCUAAGACUCCUUUACUCCUUUUCGUUGAUUCUCUGUUCUUGCUCUUUCUUCUUUACCACAACAACACACCUGUGCACCCACUGUAGGCCCUCGAAAGAGGGACCUAUGUCUUAUUCUUGCAUCGCGCAUCUACUCUAUGUCUAUAGAAUGUAUUCAAGAUCGUCGUUGACUGGCGGUCCAACAUAUAAAUGUCAUACAACUUUCAGCAACGGAUCUCUUGGCUCUCGCAUCGAUGAAGAACGCAGCGAAUUGCGAUAAGUAAUGUGAAUUGCAGAUUUUCAGUGAAUCAUCGAAUCUUUGAACGCACCUUGCGCUCCUUGGUAUUCCGAGGAGCAUGUCUGUUUGAGUGUCAUUGAAUUCCCUCAAACCAUGUCUUGAUUGAUCUUCAAGGCGCAUUGGCUUUGGAACAUUGGGGGUUUGCUGGCUGCAAAAAGGAGCAGUCGGCUCUCCUGAAAUGCAUUAGCAGGGAGAAGGGAGUGGGCACUAUGCAAGUCUUUCUUUGACGUGCACGGCCUUGGACGUGAUAAUGAUCGUCAUCGCUGGAGCGUCAGACUUGAUGAAUGGCAGUCUCUCUCUAUCUCUUCAUGCUUCUAAUUUCUCUGAUCCUUGAGGGCCCU
rnacentral:rRNA from 1 species